UGGCACUCAAUAAUUUGUUGGCAAUAUUUGUAAAGAUUUAUUAUUUGAAUCUACAGUUGGUUGCUUCAUUCUAUAAAUAUCAAACGCUAGAACUCGCUAAAGCAACUUAAUUACUUUUGUGUUUUCAUAACGGUUCACCGGAAGCUAGAGAGAUCCUUUCUGAUUAAUUUGAAGAAUAUGGAGACUCCCUGCCCAGGUAUUUUGGCCAACUUCAGUUAAAUAUUGUUUAUAAUUCUUGUUUGAACUUAUGUAUUUAUGAAUAAGUUUUUUAAUAUAAAUUUUUCAGACAAGAGGAAUUGGUCAGAGGGGCACAUAUUAGAUGUCCGUUCGAGUAUUGCUGAUGAUGCUGCUACAAAUGAUAAUUUUGAUCUUCUCGUAGUUCCUCAAUACGGAAGAAAGCCCGACUACCCCGGUUAAGUGCAUGAAAUAGUUUUUUUUUUAAAAUUAAAUAAAAAACGGCCAAGGCGGAUGUACGGUACAGCAGUAAAUAAAAUUAAUGUAUAUGUAUGCUAUUGUGUUGAUUAAGUUAGUUUAUGCAUGUCGACUUAAUUAUGCUCUCUUCUUAAUCCUUUUCUAGAACAAACUUGACACAUCGGUUGUUCUAAAAGACGCAAUCUCUUUCAUCAGAAAUAUUACCUUUUGUUAUAGGCCUAAGAUGGUCCAAUUAGUCCCAUCCGUGCGAUAUCCUCG
rnacentral:lncRNA from 1 species